rnacentral:rRNA from 1 species
AUUGAACGCUGGCGGCAUGCCUUACAUAUGCAAGUCGAACGGCAGCAUGGGUGCUUGCACCUGAUGGCGAGUGGCGAACGGGUGAGUAAUGCAUCGGAACGUACCCGGAAGUGGGGGAUAACGUAGCGAAAGUUACGCUAAUACCGCAUAUUCUGUGAGCAGGAAAGAGGGGGAUCGCAAGACCUCUUGCUUUCGGAGCGGCCGAUGUCGGAUUAGCUAGUUGGUGAGGUAAAGGCUCACCAAGGCGACGAUCCGUAGCGGGUCUGAGAGGAUGAUCCGCCACACUGGAACUGAGACACGGUCCAGACUCCUACGGGAGGCAGCAGUGGGGAAUUUUGGACAAUGGGGGCAACCCUGAUCCAGCCAUGCCGCGUGAGUGAAGAAGGCCUUCGGGUUGUAAAGCUCUUUCGGCCGGGAAGAAAUCGCACGGGCUAAUACCCUGUGUGGAUGACGGUACCGGAAUAAGGAGCACCGGCUAACUACGUGCCAGCAGCCGCAGUAACAC